UGCAGUCGAGCGGAGAGGCCCUUCGGGGUACUCGAGCGGCGAACGGGUGAGUAACACGUGAGCAACCUGCCCUAGGCUUUGGGAUAACCCCGGGAAACCGGGGCUAAUACCGAAUAUGACCUUUCCUCGCAUGAGGUUUGGUGGAAAGUUUUUCGGCCUGGGAUGGGCUCGCGGCCUAUCAGCUUGUUGGUGGGGUGAUGGCCUACCAAGGCGACGACGGGUAGCCGGCCUGAGAGGGCGACCGGCCACACUGGGACUGAGACACGGCCCAGACUCCUACGGGAGGCAGCAGUGGGGAAUAUUGCACAAUGGGCGGAAGCCUGAUGCAGCGACGCCGCGUGAGGGAUGACGGCCUUCGGGUUGUAAACCUCUUUCAGCAGGGACGAAUCGUAAGUGACGGUACCUGCAGAAGAAGCGCCGGCCAACUACGUGCCAGCAGCCGCGGUAAGACGUAGGGCGCGAGCGUUGUCCGGAUUUAUUGGGCGUAAAGAGCUCGUAGGCGGCUUGUCGCGUCGACUGUGAAAACCCGCAGCUCAACUGCGGGCCUGCAGUCGAUACGGGCAGGCUAGAGUUCGGUAGGGGAGACUGGAAUUCCUGGUGUAGCGGUGAAAUGCGCAGAUAUCAGGAGGAACACCGGUGGCGAAGGCGGGUCUCUGGGCCGAUACUGACGCUGAGGAGCGAAAGCGUGGGGAGCGAACAGGAUUAGAUACCCUGGUAGUCCACGCUGUAAACGUUGGGCGCUAGGUGUGGGGGGCCUCUCCGGUUCCCUGUGCCGCAGCUAACGCAUUAAGCGCCCCGCCUGGGGAGUACGGCCGCAAGGCUAAAACUCAAAGGAAUUGACGGGGGCCCGCACAAGCGGCGGAGCAUGCGGAUUAAUUUGAUGCAACGCGAAGAACCUUACCUGGGUUUGACAUGGCCGCAAAACCGGCAGAGAUGUCGGGUCCUUCGGGGGCGGUCACAGGUGGUGCAUGGCUGUCGUCAGCUUGUGUCGUGAGAUGUUGGGUUAAGUCCCGCAACGAGCGCAACCCUCGUUCGAUGUUGCCAGCGCGUUAUGGCGGGGACUCAUUGAAGACUGCCGGGGUCAACUCGGAGGAAGGUGGGGAUGACGUCAAGUCAUCAUGCCCCUUAUGUCCAGGGCUUCACGCAUGCUACAAUGGCCGGUACAAUGGGCUGCGAUACCUUGAGGUGGAGCGAAUCCCAAAAAGCCGGUCUCAGUUCGGAUCGGGGUUUGCAACUCGACCCCGUGAAGUCGGAGUCGUUAGUAAUCGCAGAUCAGCAACGCUGCGGUGAAUACGUUCCCGGGCCUUGUACACACCGCCCGUCACGUCACGAAAGUCGGCAACACCCGAAGCCGGUGGCCCAACCCG
rnacentral:rRNA from 1 species